rnacentral:rRNA from 1 species
UACGUAGGGUGCAAGCGUUAAUCGGAAUUACUGGGCGUAAAGCGUGCGCAGGCGGUUUUGUAAGUCUGUCGUGAAAUCCCCGGGCUUAACCUGGGAAUUGCGAUGGAGACUGCAAGGCUGGAGUCUGGCAGAGGGGGGUAGAAUUCCACGUGUAGCAGUGAAAUGCGUAGAGAUGUGGAGGAACACCGAUGGCGAAGGCAGCCCCCUGGGUCAAGACUGACGCUCAUGCACGAAAGCGUGGGGAGCAAACAGG